CCCUAGAUAUCACCAGACAUAUCUAAAAAUAAAUCUCCUCUCUGUAUUCAAAUCAAAACGCAAGCAUUAAUUUUUAUUUGUAUUGGCACGAUCUGGAGGAUCAUGUUUCAUUAGGAACCCAAAUCAGCAUCACAGCAAAAGCCAUUUAAUUUCCACCCAGAUUGAAAGUCAAUGCCAAAACAUAAAAUAAACAAAACAGAGGGCAGAUUUUGCGCUGACUAAAAAUAAUUAAACCAGAACAAAAUAUUUUCUUUUUUUUGUUCCAUUUCCGAGGGGAAUUCGUUGGAAUUGUAAUGAAAAUACAAAAUUAGGACAACACCGCAAAGACCCAGAGCGUGAGGAUGAAAGGAAAUCAAAACCAGAAACACAGAAAUUGUGUGGGGGAAAGAAAUCCCACAGAAAUCUGGGAAUGGAAAGAAGAAAUGGAAUGACAAUGCUUCACUCCACAAAAUACAAAAAGAAGGAAAAAAAUAUAUAAAAAGAGUUGGCGCAAUAAAAUGGCCAAUUAUGACAAAUUUAAGAAUGAAUGCUGUGUGUUAAUAAUGCUCAAAAAAGCAUUUCAAUCUCUCUUUACACUUGAGAACGAACGAACGAACGUCAUCAUUAGCAGCACCCUGAAACUCUGGACAAUCUCCGCUUUGGAAAGGGUUUCCCUUUUGACCAGCAAUUAUAUGGCAUUCCCUCUUGAAGUUUGACCUGAAAAUUUGGGAUGCCCUUGGAAAAAAAUGUAAGACUUUGUUUGUAAGAAGGUUUCAAGUUGAUUGAGACUUAAAAAUAAAAAGCCGUUUAGUGUUCUUUACUUCCUGUUAAAAUGAUGGAUAUCAUAAUCAAGGCUCAAAUUAAAAAAAAUAUAUAUAUAUAGCUUUUGAAAGUAUGUAAACUAGCUUUAAUAAAAAUUAUUAAUCUCUGAAAAAACCUCAUGUAACUACAUUUUCUAAUCUAAAACUCAACAUUGUUGCUUAAAUUAUAGGGUGAAGUUUAUCAGAGGGAUCGCUGAAAGAGAGAAGUUAAUCUUCUCUGCCAGAGCAUUUAGCCUAGAUUCUGGUUUGAAUCUAGCAGAGUUCAGAUUGUGGGUCAAGUAAUUUCCAACUCCUCCGCCUCCUACAGCUUCUUCUGCUCUCCAACUGUUGAUGCUCCUCCUUCUGCCAGCCUAUCAGCAAUUAUCCCGCAAACGAUUUUCACGACUUUUCUUGAUCUUCUUCCUCUCCCUCUCUCUCUUUCUUUCCUUGGAACAAAUUUAUUUUACCUCAAAAAUAACCAUUAACAAUUUUUCUCUUCUAAUCUUUGCAUCUAUUGGCCAUGGCCACCAUUGCCAUCCUUCUUUCCACUGAAAUCCGAUCAGAGAAAGAGCGAAAAAAGCGUUUCCAUUAGGAAAAAUUGCUUUAGGAAAAUGGUUAGCAAUGUAUAAAAAUGUCAAAGAUCGCAUCGUUUGAAUUAAUGAUCGUGGCCGUAAGGAAGAGAAUGGUAGCUGCACAGAAAUAAAAAUAAAGGGUUUAAAAUAAAAAAAAUAAUAAACAAAUAAUAAUAAAAUAUAAUAAUAAAAAUGAAAAAGUUUUUAAACGAUUUAAAAUUUUAAAUCAUAUAUUCUAUUCAGUUUAAAGAGGUUUUUCCACCUCUUAAAAAUCUAUCUCGUUUAUUGUUCCAACUAUAUCUUAAAUAAUUUUUUAAAGCAUCAAUAAAUUUUGUAUAAAAUUCAUAUAUUUUUCAAAGAAUUCUUAAACAUUUUUCCUGUGUAAAUGGAUUAGGAAAGCGGCUGGGGAUCGACUUUGGCUACAGUUUGGUAGGUAGCUCCAAACACUUAAUGACGUCAUUACAAGCCAGCCCCAGCACGUGCUCUUCCUUCCUCCUCCACCCGAAAAGGGAAAAAAAUGAAAUAAAAAUUCAAAUUUGAAUUCAAAUUUUUUGCGCUCAGGGGUGUUGGUAUCGAGUUCCAUGAAUAUGCAAAUUGGAAACAGAGAUCCAGGGGAACGAGGAUGAGAUAUAGCGGCUGAUUCGUGGCGUUGUCGUGCGUGAAUUGUAAAUAAAUUUAUUGCGUUCGCAAUUCUUUCGUUGUUUCAACUUGUUUGGUUUACACUUUUGGUUUUAAUGGUCUGUGUUCAUGCAGAGUUUUUGAAUAAUAGACAUAUAGUUCCCUUUUGUUUUCCUUUUUUGGGGGGGAAGACAACAGAGCAUACAUACAUUUAUAAUUUGCGACUGCCGAGGGUGGCCAAAUUAUUUGGCAAAUGGCAUAAAAAUGCCCACAAUGACAAAUGAUUUAUAAAGUUGGGGGAAGUAUUUGGAGAUUAGAUGGGAAUCGGAAGCAGUAAAGUGACAAUCCCCAAAGAAAAUCGAUUUAGCUUCGAGUUUGAAAUUGAAAUUAAUGAAUAUGAAGAGGCAAGGAGUAGAAUACUAAAGUAGAUGAAGAAUUUAUAAAAUAGGGUUGGGAUUGGUAUAAAAAAAAGCUUUUAAUAUAUCAUUAAAGUACACUUCCUUGGCUCCCUUUUCAACCAGAAUCAACCAGCUUUGACCUCCUCAAAGUCUCCAUUUAACUCAAAUGUCAAUGACCAAUGCCUUGAGUGCAUGGGAAUUAUUAAAGUUCUGCAGAAAAUUAAAACAUUUGAGAUGCCUGCACAGCACAAUAGCAACGUGGAAUAUAUCACAAAUCACAGGGCAAUUCCAAUUACCUUUGAGUAGAAUGCUAGAACUGAAUCCUGAUCUGAUCCCUGGUCAUGGCCAUGGUCAUCAGAGUCGACUCAGGCAUCUGGCAUUUCAAUUACACAAGCUCCGGCGCGAUCUAGACCUAAUUGAUUGACUCCAGACUCCAGACUUCAGACUCUAGAGGAUGGCAAGGUGCUGAUAAUAUUUAUACCACGUACGAUCCCUCGCAGAAUGCAAUUAAAUUGCAUUUUCCACACACACACACACACAGAGACAGUGAAGGAAAGAACAAUGAGCAAUUUUUAAAGAUUUCCACGCUGGCACUCAGCACGUUUCCUACAUAAACCAUAAGCACCAACAAGUAGAUGAUGAUGAUGGCGGAGCGGUGCAGCUGGCUGCUCCAGCUUCCUCCUUCUCCUUUGAUUUUCCCGGGCUUUUCACAGUUUUCACCAACAAAAGAAGAAGAAGGAAAAAUUAUCUUGAGGCUGCAACAGCAAACGGUAAACACGAUUGCUCUCCGCUCAGAAUCGGCGGGGAGUAAAGUAACAAGUGCAACGUGGCACAUUUUCGAAAGCUCCUCCGCCACUCACGAUUUUCACCCCAGGCCAAAGCCACCAGGCAACAUAUAUUUUCUUUAUUUUCUUCGUUUCGUUAGAGUUAGAGUUUGGAGUCUACUUUAUAUUAUAGAAGGUUUGGAACAGCUUGAAAAAAUAUAAAAUAAUUUUAAGAAACUAAGCAGGGACGAUUUUUAAUCCUUCUGUUAAAUAUUAAAAUUCUUUUCAUAGUAAGGAAUUUAUAGUAUAAAAGUUAGGGAACAUAGACAGUCACUUUACUCCCUCUAAUUUCUUCAUCUUCGUUUUUUUGUUGCUACUUUUUAAUGGAGGAUUAUCCAGCAAAACAGUUGCAACAGUUGCAUCCAUCAACUGGAGAGCGGCGGUUCCUGAUGCCGGUGGGGUUGGUGGGCCCUAACUUGGUUUUCUUUUUUAUGCUGUAAGUUGUCAACACACAAAAGUUUGCCCGGCUGAAGGAGGAAGAAAUCUCAGCAGGCGGCGCCAGUUGAAUGAACUCAACGGAAAAAAGCUGAAAAAUGGUUCAGUUUUGUUGCUGUUGCUGCCGUUGCUCGCUUUUUAUUUUUUGCGGCCAGGUAAUGAUGAUGUUGCCAACGCAACGCAGCCUGUGAAAGGAAACGGGGCCAGACACAAAUGCUGGAGCAGAAUCAGAAGCAGCAGCACCGAUGGAGGGCAGGAGGAUGGCAACAGAAUAGCGCAGACAAAGAGCUGCAAGAGCAGGAAACGAGCCACAAUAGGACAACACACGGGAUGUGAUGGGGAUGCACUCAAAAAAAUAAAAGUAAAUCAAUAAAGUGGAAAAACUAGAAAAUAAUUGAAAUUAAAUUAAACGAAAUAUUAUAUUUUAUAUUAAAAUAAAAACCAACUGCUUCAAAAAUAAAUUAAUUCAAAUAUUUGUAAUUAAUUUUAAAAAGUAUUCAAUAUUUCCCUAGGUGUCCUCUCAAUGGGAGAUUGGAAAUGGGAGGGAUCGCACAACAACCAGCAAUUGGAACAGGAACUGUCUUAAUCCCACAAUCAAUGGGAUAGUGAGAGGCAGCAAAGACCCUCCUCCAGUAGAGCCAAAAACCAUCUGCAGAAACCAUCUCGCGGGAUCGUUCGAUUCAGCAGUGCGGGAGAGCUGCUCGAAUCACCUACAAACUGCACCCAAACUGCAUCCCAACUGCCGAUGCCACGAGGAACAUUUUCAUCACAUGUUGACCAGCACUUGGUAGCAUACUCUCCACCACUGGGAUCUGCUGCUGCACUUCCUCCGAGUUUCCCCCCACUUGUGUAAUUCAAUGGCGUGUAAAAUAGUUGGCGGGCAUUGUCCGGACAUUUGGACAACGAACGGACGGACAAGUGGACAGACAGCCGAAGAAACGAGACGAGACGACGGCUCUGAGUUUUGCAUAUGAACAACCAAGUUAGAGAUGACCGAUCUCAGUCACUUUUAGAAGACUUAAAAAUGGUUAAAAAAGAAAUAUUUUUUGAUUACUUUUGUAUCAAAUUAAAGGAUUUUAUAAUAAUUAGAAACUUUUAAAAUAUUUCCCAUAAAAAAAAGGUUACAGGUUAGUACAUAUAAAUUAUAUAAUAAAUAUCUAUAAAUAUGUGGCUAUUCCAAUAAUUUUUUGUAACCAACUUCUUGAUAAUCCGUGACCAUCUUAGAAUCCCACCUCAUCUCUAUCAACUGAUGGGGGAUCUCCUCUUCUGUUGCAAGUCCAAUGGCAGCAAUUGACUUGAUCGAGGAGCCCCCGAGUUGUUGCUUUUGUGGCUGGAAAAAAAAAUCAGAAGCUAAGCAAAAACAGAGGCGAAUGCAGCUGCUGUUUGUUCGAUCGCCAGAUCGAGAUGAUCAUGAUUAUGGCGAUGAUAAUUAUGAGGCGGCAAUGGCUGCCACUUGCGUUGGAACGGCUGGCCGUUGUGCUAAAAUUUAAUAAGUGCUAAAAUAAUCAGCGCGUUGGCUUUAUGCAAACUUGUUGCAAUCAUUAUAUACGACGAGAGCAUGUGUGUAGUUUUCGACUCUAUUGUUGUAUGUAGUUGGGUUCUGGUUAUUGUCGAGGCUCUCUGGUUGCCAGCAGUCAAUGAACUUGGCUCACUCGAGUUCUGUUUGUGCAAUGUGUGUAAUUCAAAGCGAAAUUAUAAUGUUGAAAAAAAAAGCACAACAAAAUUGUGGCCAAGCGAAAACGAGUUGUACACUGUAACCAUUCCCCUUCUUAUUUUUUCUACAAACUUACUAUUACUCCAAUGACCCCACUUCCUUUGCCACACGACAUCUUAAUCUAUCUUCUUUUUUACGCGUUACUCUUUAUUUUAAAAAUAUAAUUAAAAUAUAGUUACUUUACCUAGAUAAGCUUAGCAAUUUAUAAUUAUGUUUGAGACUUUUUAUAUUAAAUUAUUAAUGUUUUUAGGGAGCUCAGCCCUGAAGUCCUAAUUUAGUUUUAAAAUUGAGGUGUACCAGCCGAUAAGAUACACCAAAUUAAAUUCAGAUUUAAUUGUUUUCUUAGGAUUUGUAAUUUAUAAUGGUUUCUUAGGGUAUUAAAUACUGCGAUCUUCUUUACUAGACUUUGAUUUUUCCAAGCUAAAAGCGUAAUAUAAUUUUUUAUGACACAGAGAAUUCUUGUUGUCGCCGCAGUUUGUUGUUGCCAGUAAUUAAAUGAAGUUAUGUUCCAGACCUGUCUCUGUUUUUUUUUUUUCUUCUGUUUUUUUUCUGGAAGAAGCAACAGCCCCUGAUGAAGAGUGAGUUGACAAACGCUGACACGCGAGAAAAAGGGGUACAAAAAAGGGGGGCCAGCAACACACGCGAGCGAAUCUGGUAAAUAUGCUCGUAUAAAAAUAGUUUCAAAUGCAAAAUGACACAUAUCGGAGGGGGAAAUUGAGUACCAUGCUCUUGACAUCAUCUGGCCAAUUGGAUGGGACAUAAUUUGAUUAGCACUAGCUCCUUGGAUAAUAGGGAAUUAAAAAGAGAACGGUGAGGAGGAAAAAAGGGGGAAUUUUCAUUUUAAAUGGUUCAAUAAACAUAUAUCUAAUUACACAUCAAAGUGAUAUAUAGAUAAUUGUAUUUUACCAACCAUAAACAAUUUUAUUACUUGUAAAGUCGUUAAGAGGAAAUCUGGCUUAUUUAAAAAUCAAGGAACCUGGGAAGAACCACUCAUAAAACGAUCAUAAAAUAAUAAACCAGAAUCAGAUAGCUUCAGUAGCUUAUAUAUUUUAGUUUCUUUAUUAUCUACCCACUUUAAUUAACCUUUAUUUUUCUUAAUUUCCCCGCCUUAUCCACUUAAAAAUCUUAAACAAAUAAAUCUAUCACAAUUGAAAUAUCAUCGUAGUGAGGUAGGAGGAGCAGCAUAGAAAAAAACAAUAUCAAAACAAAUUGGCUGAGCAUUAGAAACGCAUAAAACUUCAUUAAGCUUGUAUUCUCCUCUUUCCAUCUACCCCAAAGAGCGAUAGUAACGAACUGAGAGCGGAGUGCAGUUUUUACAAUUAACUUGGAAGUCCAUAACAUACAGAUACGAGGCCGACAGAUAGAAAGAUGAACAAAAGCAACGACUGCAGCGAUAUACAAGGCAACACCAUCUAUGAUGACGAGGGAAAGGCCUCAAACCUGGAUGUACACCGAUCAAAAUAGUGUUUAUCGAACUUUUAAAGUACAAUUAUAACAUUCUACUUAGAAAUAGAGAAAUUCAUGCAAGACUAUUACAUUAAAAUAUGACAAUUAUAAGCGUGGAUUCUGAAAAUUUUAGUUAAAAAAGUGUUGGUUUUUAUAUAUAGAAUCUCCUAGAGAAAAUUUUAUAUUUUUUUCCAAGUACAUAAAGCAACAGUUGCGCCGCUUGAGUGCAUUCGUUUGUUAAAGUCCAGGGACGGCUUUUAUUAUUAUCAUUGUUCUGCUUCUGCCUCUUCUUUAGGCCGGUUGCUGCUGCUGCUGAUGUUUCUGCUGCAAUGAAAGUAGACACAAUCCGGCAACGAAAAAGAAAACUCAAGUGAAUUGCAAUGUUAGAGAGCCCAGUCGGCAGCUACAUAAAAAACUAGAAUCAACCGUAAUAAGACAUAAAAAAAAUACAAGAAACUAAAAAAUAACAAGGAAAUUGCAGUACAGUAAUGGCUCAUAAAAAGAUUUGACUGAUAUCUUGAAUUCUAUAGAAAUUUGAUGACCGCACUUUUGUUUUCAGAUUUUAGUAAAAGAAACUGAAUUUUUCCAUUAAAUUAAAAUAAAAAAUUUCGUGCAUUAAAAAUCAUCCAUGAUUCAUGUAUUAUAGUAUAUUCUUGAUAGGCGAUUCCUAAUAUGCAGUAAUCACUGUACGGACAACAAUAGAUCUUCAACUCUGGCUGUUUUGAGUGUUUUACGCUCGUCAUCGUCCCCCGCAGCUCCUAGAUAUCCCCCAACAAAACCCCGGAGGGAUAGAGAAGUUACCAAAGAGUGUUGUUUUUUUAUUACAGGGGGCAUGAAAUCUGAUUCUCGGAAGAGUUAAUUUUGUAGACUACAUAGGGAAGGUAAGUUGUUGAUGGAAUUGAAAUGGGAAUGUCUGCUGCUCGCUUCUCAAGUCCAGGUAACUUAAUUAAAGUGAUUGCACCAGGGUUGCUGUGUUGUUGCUUUUGGUGCAACCAACCAGGGUUGCCGCGGCAACAGACAAAUAUAACGGAAAUAAAGCGCCAGUCAUUUUGAUGCAAUAACAUUUGGUAAUGGCAAUGGGCGUGUCCCUAAGGGGGCCGUAAAUUCGCUUUUUCCAAACAUUUUUCACCGCCUUUCCACCCGGCACAGUUACUUUUGUUUUUAUUACUUCCUCGUUUCGCACUGUUGUUCUUAUUUUGCCAUUGUUGUUCCCACUGACAUUGCAUCCCCGUGGGAGCUUGCAGGCGCCCAAAAUUCCAAGUAUAAAUGGGGAACAAAUAAUAGGAUUAAUGGAAAUUUAAUAAAUAACAAAUAAAUACAAAAUGAGUUUGCUUUGCUAAUUCGACUUUAUUGAAUUUAAUACAAGAAUUAUUUGUGUUUAACUAGAAUUACUUGAAUUUUAAAACACAUUUCCCCCUGUUUAAAUAACCAUUCUACAUUUUUUGGUAGCCAUAUUUACAAAAUAAAAAGGAAUUUUAUAAACUUUAUUUGUAUUUUAAAACCUCUAUUAAUUUGACCACUAGUGUUCUUUACUGUUUACACAUGUUACCCCAAAUGUGAAAGGGAGACGGAAACAUGUUAACUUGAUCUGCGAAAGAGACGGUUGCAGUUUCAGUUGCAAAACAACAAAUAAACAACAACAAUAACAACGAGAAGAACAAUAACAAAGCGCAAAUUGUUUGCUUUUGUUGCCGACGAGGAUAAAUGCAUUGAUUUCUGACAGUCUCGACAGUCGGCGGCAAUCGCUUUUUUUCGUGGCCACGGAACCGUGAAGAAAAUGAGAGAAAAGAAGCCCUUUUGGGGUGAUAUUUCCCCCCUAAUUCCUUGACGUCAGCCGCAACCUGCUCAAUUGGUUCUUACUUUUGUUUUAUUUACAAAAUGAAAAUUGCAGUGCGUUGGCUUGAUUAACUUCAUUAUUUAUGAAAAUUGUUUUUCAGCGUACUUUUUUCUUUAGCUUCUUUUCCCUUUGCCCAUUUCUUCUACCCACGCAAACACACACACAAAGACUUGACUUGGAAAAGUCGGGACAAAAACAAACUUUAAUUUAUUGAUAUUAAUUUUAAGCAAAUUGCAGACAAACAAGCCAUGUAUUUAUUUAUACUUUUACCGGCCAACGCAAAAACGACUUUUAUAAAAAAUAAACUUCAUUUAAAGCAGGACCAUGCCUAAAAGAGACAAAAGGAAUACGAUCCACAUACAAAUACCAAUGCACUUAUGUAUUUGCAGCUUUUUUUCACACGCACACAAAUGUACACACGUUUUUUUGCAAAAUUCUAUUUAAAUGAUUAAUUUCUUAAGUGUUCUAAGGUUUUUUUAUUUUAUUAAUGUUAAUCAUAUAUUAAAUAAAGUAAAUUACCACUUACAUAGCAUUUUCUUCACAUUUUUAUGUGGCUUUUGAAGCAGAACUCCAAACGGCGCUCCCAUACACACACACACACUUGGUCUUUUUUCGUUUAAUAAACGUUAAUAUUACGUUUACUUUAUGUAUGCCACAGUUUGCUAGUAAUAUCAAUAUUACACUUUAUCAGUCACACACAAUUUAAAUCAAAUCUUUUUAUAUUUUCGAAGCUGCGAACUUUUCCGAUCAAGUUAACCGAACGAGGAGGAAGAAGGAAUGAGCAAAGAGAAGAAGAAGAGAAGGACUUUAAGUUAGAGCGGGAUGGCUAGUGUGUACUUGCAUUGGUAUUUUCAGUGUUGGUAAAUUUCCAAAAUUAGUUUUUGUUAAACGAAGUGAAAGCGUGGUUCUUAAAAAGUUUAAUUAAAGAUUUGUGCUGUUGCAAACAUUUAAAACAUACAAAUUGUUGAUAAAACAGUCAAUGAGGUUGUUAAUAACCUUCCGGAAACGUUAGUUAGAUCAAAAAGAGUAAAAUUUAGGGCAAACCGAGAAGUGUGCACCCGGGGCUGCAUUUUUUCUUCUUCUUACCUACAUAUUCGUGUUUUUUUCUUCUGUUAAAGUGCGUGAAAAUUGUCCAGUUUUAAGGGGUUUAUCCGGGGGAAAUGCAAUGUUUAUGACGGCUCGGCACAACCCCAAUUUUUUGCCUGCAUUUUCCCUUUGCCAAUUUCGCUGACGACCGCAGUUGGCUUUGCGUUUUUCGUUUGAAAGGAUUAAGAACCGGUUUACUUUGGGCCCACCGCCGACCGGCCCAUAAAAAACAAAAGGAGCUUAACAAUCCGGCUGGUCAGUGGCGUCGCUUCCCAGUGGGCGGCCGUCGGCAGUGGGUGGUGGCUGGCAGUGAUUUACCCCACGAGGGUUGGCUUAGUUCUCCUUGCACAUCCCCUGACACUUGCCCACUUCCCACUUCAUGCAAAUGGCCAAACAUUAAGGCAACACUUGAGUUGUGUCUACAAACAGCUGUGGUCAGAUGAUUAGUACCAGGGCAUCAGGAAUAUGUUUAAAACAAAUCUCUAAAAACAUGCUUCAUGUCAAAGACAUGCCACCCCUUAUUCCCGGCGAAUGCAAAUGCAAACAAUGGCCAAGGCUGCGACGGAAGAACAAGUCACGUGCUGCCCGUUCCGAAGUCCAUUCGCCGUACUGCCAUAUUCCAGGGUACUCCUAAUAAGCGGCAAAUAAUUGGCAGACGAACUUGAGACUACCCCAAUGGCAUGGGACGUCGCACCGAUUGCCAGUGGCAACUGCAAUUGCCACUAAAAAUCGAUACCAACCACCGCACACAGCCACCCUGCCUGCCAGCUUGCCUGCGCAGGUUGUCGAUCCUUGCUGGAAUUUUCUGUUUGUCUGUUUGUUUGUCAGCCGGUUUCCAGUGCUCCUCGGCUCCUGCUCCUUUGCUCCCAGAGCUUCCAGAGAGAGAAAUCCACUCUCCGUAACUGCAGUUGCAUUGGUUUAAAGUACAGGUGAGUGCAAAUGUGGGGAAUAUUUCAACCUCAACCUUAAACACACUCAACAAUUAGAGUUUCCGGCCAUAAAGCCCGUCAAGAACUGGAAAGCGUCGGGCCAGAAAGAACUGUCAACUGACCAAAUUUGACAGACAACUAAAACAUAGAACAGGGCGGGAUUUAAAGGGUUUUGUAGAAGACAAUUUAAAUUAAAUGAGGUAUAGUUUUUCUUUAGAUUUUAAUAAUACUUGCUGCUAUUUAGAUUCUUGCAUUACAUAGCUUCGCUUUCGUUUUACAAGCCUAGUUGCACUUUGUCUACCCAAAAAGUAAUGUUUCUUGGCCCAAAAAGACUGAUGAAACUCAUGUAAAACCUCUCAAACUCCCCUCCAAUCCGCUCCUGACAGUCAGAAUGACGACAGCGCACGAUCAUUACAGCGGUACUAUAGCUUGCAUUCUGUCGCCCUGCUCAAUGAACCAUUCCGUUUGCUGCAGCAAGCCCCGACUUGGCUAGCAACAAUUAAUAUGGCCAGCGAUGCGAAUCUAAUAAUGUGACUACAAUGACGACAAUAGAGCCGGCUCUCCAGGCCUCCCAGCCGUAGCCUGUACGUGUUAUAUAAACAAAGCUUCGGGUUCGGGUUUACGGCUUUCGGGGCAGCUGCAAAAGUGUGAUAUGUGUUGCUGGGUUCUAACGAUACAUCAUUGUGAUAUAUGUAUAUGGCCCGAGGUGUGGACUAUAUACAUGUAUACUAGUACUAGGUGCGCCAUAAAUUAACACUAGCCGCCGCCCCGGCUGUGGCCCAGUAGGCGGUAACUGGGCUCAUAAAUGCGGCAACGGAAAAACAAUUAACCAUUGCAUGUCGACGGUGCUUAGGAGUUACAGUCCAUAAGGAGAGAAAGAUCCCUGGACCAUGGCCACUGGUCAGCAGUGGUGGUGGUCAAGGUGCGUGAGAUCACUGGCGGGUGAUAACGAGCUGGGCCUGAAUUCCUUCUGAUAGCUACAAAUGAGCGAUCGUUUAUCUCAAUGGGCAAACAUGAUCGGCAAAUGUUUUGCACUUACUUUGGGGAGGGAUAUCAUCGAAAUGGUAUCGAUGCAAUUCUUUUAAUGGCCCAUAAAAUACUUGAAAGGGGACUUUCUGCUAAUGCCAGCUCAUUGAGUACUAAUUAUUUGUUGCUAAACUACUUGCAAGUGAUUUUGUUAGUAAUUUGUGGGGAUUUUUUAUAGUUGCCUCCUUUUAUUAAUUAGGAUGUAUAAUUAUAUUAGUUAUUAGUUUAGUAAGAACAAGAACUUUAUACUAAUAUUGGGAUCAUUUUGGCAAAAAGCAAGUAGAUUUAGAUUAAACCAAUCACCUUUCCUAUUUCUUAUUCAGGCGAAUUUUGGAUAUAUUAAUGAUAUAAGUAAUGCUUUAGGCAGAAUAUUCCUAUUUCCUUUUCAAUAUUGCAAUACAAUUUUCCCUUAUCUGAUCUCUUAAAUCCCCCGAAAAUCCCAUAAAUCGGCAAAACAAAAACUGCAGUUAUGCUACAAUAACAGUUAAGUGCGAGCAAUAUGCAUAAAAUCAAUGAAAUGAACUUGAUUCCUAGUUCCAAAUGAAAAUAUACAAAUAAGGGAACCAACACCCAAUGGUGGGAAGAUAUGCAACCAACACUGAAACCAAAGACCCUGCUUGAAAAAAAUAAAAAUAAAAGCGAAAUCCGAAUCCGAGUUAAGAGCGCGAUUCUCUACUCCCAAAAGCGUUGUUGUUCCCAGGCUAUGAUAAUCGGGGAACACUAAGGGUGGUUAUAUGGUAGCCUGACAUGGCACGCAGGGGAGAAAUAACCCUCCUCCUGGCAGUGGUAACAGUAAAACUGCAAUUGCAUUUGUCGUUGGACGAACUAGAGUGAAGCAACAACCCCCGGACGCGGAAUCCCUUUUGGAACCCUCGUACAAGGGACCAUCUUUUAUCCCUUCUUCGGUUGUUCCAAUGGUGGCGCAUUUGCAAUGACAAACAACAAUAAAAAGAUUCGAUAUCGAGGCGAUCGAUCAAUAAGCAGUUACAAACACAGGCACGCUCACUGCGAUUGCGUGAAAUUUUUGAGACAAAGCGGCGACGUAUUUGGAAACUCUCGUCUUUGGAAGUAGGGGGUUAUUAUAUCAUAUAUGAGGUGCCCCCUAGAUCGGGACAGCUGCGCAGGCGCCGCGCUCUAGCCAGGGUUGUCAUCUCUCCGCACAGCUUCCCUGCUGAUUUUGGUGGUGGAUUGCAUGAAAUCCAAACUGGGUACAGUAGCGCAAGCAAUUAAUCACAAGGUUUAUGCGUUGUAUAUUCAUGAAGUUCUAUAGUUUAGCAUAAUAGAAUUCUUCUUAAUAAAUUUCCUCCUUCUGAAAAAUAAUUUUAAUGUUUCAAACUAUUUUAGAAUUCUUAUUUUUAGUUAUUUAUUUCGAUUUUAUGAAUUUUAAUAGGAAUUAUUAUGAAAUUUUAGGAUAAGAGUGCUGCAAAACAUCUAAGAAAACUUAUCCACUUGCUAUUUCUCUUGAUUUUUUAAAAUCGAUAUUAGAUGCCUUCUGUAUAACCACGCAUAAACAACAGCAUAUGUCCUCGUCACUUGGAUUUCGAACAUUUGUCACUGUCGCAAAUAUGUAUGGCUCUAACUGUUUUCCAUCCCAAAAAGGGGUGACAUGCGUCGUUUGUCCAAUUUGUUGCGCAAUCAAGCCGUUGCCUGCUUUUUUUUUUAAGUUGCAUCUGGAGUCUGGACUCCUCUGGAAAUCGUGCGUGUCGUGAACCAAGUCCACGUUCAAGUCCAGGUCUUUUAGCUGGUAAUUGGUUUGUCAUUACAGCCAAAGCGAGGCGAAGGAGACAGAGAGAGUGCAUUGAACUUGGGUUCACGAGACGGCCAGGAGCAGUCAGCUGCCUUCUGAUCUUGGCACGUUCUAUGAAAAACUCGAACCCUCCCUUCCAACAUUCGCACCUUUAACAAGGUUUUGGUUGGUUAUUUAUGGGCCUGCGAGGCCAGCCUUUCUCUUUUCCUGCUGCUUUUCAUUUCUUUAUUUUGUGAUUUCUCAACCUUCCGGUUUUCCUUUUUCUUCCUUUUUCCAUUUCCCAGCAGUAAUUAAACGAACAAGGACCAAAAGGAUCAUCAUCUCUAGUUAGGCUCAACAUUUCCCAUGCCUUGGGCAAAGUUCAGGCUGAGAUUUAUGGGAAAACCAAUUGAAAUGCCAAGAACUUUGAUAUCUCCAAUGCUGGUGAGGGGGCUCUAAAAACCAUUACCAUACCGAACAGUUGCAUUGUAAUGCGAUGAGGGUGCUCUCUUAGGUCUUUUGUUGUCCAGGAAAAUUACUAAAAGUCACUAGCAACUAGGGGGAACUGCUGUCGAUGGAUGCCUUUUAACGACCCAACAAAAAGCACAAAACUCGAUGAUUCAAUGAUACUUUAUCGCCAAACUUAAUCUACUUGAGAAGGGAAACUACCAAGUGACACAUUACAUAAGAUUCGGGCGGGAAGGGAGGUUGAACUCGGCCCAACUAUAUGAUGAGGGCACUUCACUUCACCACUGAACGUAUACGAGUAUUUCAAGUGUAUGUUUCAAUCAGCUGCAGUUUAUGAAAAUUUAUAUAUUGCUAUGUGGCGUAAUUGAAUAUUGAUGGCAAAGGGUUAAAUCAAUUGUUAGGGCCUUGGAUUGACACCCAAUAAUUUCAAAAUAGGGGGUAUAAUUGAGGCAAUCACUGAGGUUUGUUGAGAAAUUUACAAGAUUUCCCAUAAUAGUAGUUUUUAAAAGCUAUUAUAUAUUUUCAGGCGUUUAAAAUCACAUGAAAAGUUGCCUAAAAAAAUGAAAUUGUAUUUUUUACUGAAUAUAUUUGGAGUUUUUUAAGGGAUAAUACAGGCUCACGGAGUACAAAAACUUCUGGGAUUCUAAAUUAAUACAACAACUUGUCUAUUAUUGUUAUGAUCUAUACAUUUUUAUUUGAAAUGAUCUAUGUAUAUGUCGGAGAUAUCCGUUAUUUAAUUUAACCGUAGUC